rnacentral:rRNA from 1 species
UACGAAGGGUGCUAGCGUUGCUCGGAAUCACUGGGCGUAAAGGGUGCGUAGGCGGGUCUUUAAGUCAGGGGUGAAAUCCUGGAGCUCAACUCCAGAACUGCCUUUGAUACUGAGGAUCUUGAGUUCGGGAGAGGUGAGUGGAACUGCGAGUGUAGAGGUGAAAUUCGUAGAUAUUCGCAAGAACACCAGUGGCGAAGGCGGCUCACUGGCCCGAUACUGACGCUGAUGCACGAAAGCGUGGGGAGCAAACAGG